CCUACGGGAGGCAGCAGUGAGGAAUCUUGGUCAAUGGGCGCGAGCCUGAACCAGCCAAGUAGCGUGAAGGAUGACUGCCCUACGGGUUGUAAACUUCUUUUAUAAAGGAAUAAAGUGAGGCACGUGUGCCUUUUUGUAUGUAUUUUAUGAAUAAGGAUCGGCUAACUCCGUGCCAGCAGCCGCGGUAAUACGGAGGAUCCGAGCGUUAUCCGGAUUGAUUGGGUUUAAAGGGCGCGUAGAUGGGUUGGUAAGUCAGGUGUGAAAGUUUGCGGCGCAACCGGAAAAUUGCAAUUGAUACUGGCAGCCUUGAGUACAGUUGAGGUAAGCGGAAUUCGUGGUGUAGCAGUGAAAUGCGUAGAUAUCACGAAGAACUCCGAUGGCGAAGGCAGCCUACUAAACUGCCACUGACAUUGAGGCUCGAAAGUGUGGGUAUCAAACAGGAUUAGAUACCCGGGUAGUC
rnacentral:rRNA from 1 species